rnacentral:rRNA from 1 species
GAUGAACGCUGGCGGCGUGCCUAAUACAUGCAAGUCGAGCGAACAGACGAGGAGCUUGCUCCUCUGACGUUAGCGGCGGUCGGGUGAGUAACACGUGGAUAACCUACCUAUAAGACUGGGAUAACUUCGGGAAACCGGAGCUAAUACCGGAUAAUAUAUUGAACCGCAUUGUUCACUAGUGAAAGACGGUUUUGCUGUCACUUAUAGAUGGAUCCGCGCCGCAUUAGCUAGUUGGUAAGGUAACGGCUUACCAAGGCGACGAUGCGUAGCCGACCUGAGAGGGUGAUCGGCCACACGGGAACUGAGACACGGUCCAAAAUCCGACGGGAGGCAGCAGUAGGGAAUCUUCCGCAGGGAGCGAAAGCUUAACGGAGAAACGCCGCGUGAGUGAGAAAGGUCUUCGCAUCGUAAAACACGGUUAUUAGAGAAGAACAAAUGUGUAAUUAACGAUGCACGACUUGACGGUACCUAAGCAGAAAGCCACGGCUAACUACGU